CGAACGGGAUGCUUAGGCAUCUAGUGGCGGACGGGUGAGUAACGCGUGAGAAUCUGGCUCCAGGUCGGGGAUAACAGUUGGAAACGACUGCUAAUACCGGAUGUGCCGAGAGGUGAAAGAUUUAUUGCCUGGAGAUGAGCUCGCGUCUGAUUAGCUAGUUGGUGGUGUAAGGGACCACCAAGGCGUCGAUCAGUAGCUGGUCUGAGAGGAUGAUCAGCCACACUGGGACUGAGACACGGCCCAGACUCCUACGGGAGGCAGCAGUGGGGAAUUUUCCGCAAUGGGCGAAAGCCUGACGGAGCAAUACCGCGUGAGGGAGGAAGGCUCUUGGGUCGUAAACCUCUUUUCUCAAGGAAGAAGAAAGUGACGGUACUUGAGGAAUAAGCAUCGGCUAACUCCGUGCCAGCAGCCGCGGUAAUACGGAGGAUGCAAGCGUUAUCCGGAAUGAUUGGGCGUAAAGGGUCUGCAGGUGGAACUGAAAGUCUGCUGUUAAAGAGUUUGGCUUAACCAAAUAAAAGCGGUGGAAACUACAGAACUAGAGUGCGGUAGGGGCAAAAGGAAUUCCUGGUGUAGCGGUGAAAUGCGUAGAUAUCAGGAAGAACACCGGUGGCGAAAGCGUUUUGCUAGACCGUAACUGACACUGAGGGACGAAAGCUAGGGGAGCGAAUGGGAUUAGAUACCCCAGUAGUCCUAGCCGUAAACGAUGGAUACUAGGCGUGGCUUGUAUCGACCCGAGCCGUGCCGGAGCUAACGCGUUAAGUAUCCCGCCUGGGGAGUACGCACGCAAGUGUGAAACUCAAAGGAAUUGACGGGGGCCCGCACAAGCGGUGGAGUAUGUGGUUUAAUUCGAUGCAACGCGAAGAACCUUACCAAGACUUGACAUCCUGCGAAUCCUGGUGAAAGCUGGGAGUGCCUUAGGGAGCGCAGAGACAGGUGGUGCAUGGCUGUCGUCAGCUCGUGUCGUGAGAUGUUGGGUUAAGUCCCGCAACGAGCGCAACCCUCGUUUUUAGUUGCCAGCAUUAAGUUGGGCACUCUAGAGAGACUGCCGGUGACAAACCGGAGGAAGGUGAGGAUGACGUCAAGUCAGCAUGCCCCUUACGUCUUGGGCUACACACGUACUACAAUGCUACGGACAGAGGGCAGCGAGCCAGGGAUGGCAAGCGAAUCCAGAAACCGUAGCUCAGUUCAGAUCGAAGGCUGCAACUCGCCUUCGUGAAGGAGGAAUCGCUAGUAAUUGCAGGUCAGCAUACUGCAGUGAAUUCGUUCCCGGGCCUUGUACACACCGCCCGUCACACCAUGGAAGUUGGUCACGCCCGAAGUCAUUACCCCAACCGAAAGGAGGGGGAUGCCUAAGGUAGGACUGGUGACUGGGGUGAAGUCGUAACAAGGUAGCCGUACCGGAAGGUGUGGCUGGAUCACCUCCUUU
rnacentral:rRNA from 1 species